rnacentral:rRNA from 1 species
UUGAUAAACGCUGAAAGCAUCUAAGCGUGAAGCAAGCCUAAAGAUGAGACUUCCCAUUCGAAAGAAGUAAGUUCCCUCUAAAGUUAAGAGGUUGAUAGGUUAGAAGUGUAAGUGUCGUGAGGCAUUCAGCUGACUAAUACUAAUAGAACGAGGACUUAAUUUC